UUAACGUGCCUCUCUCCUCACGCCAUCCCAAUUGCCUUCCCCGCGCGCUCGUACCAACAUAAGGAGCCCUCGCGGCGGGGCGGACGGACACCGACAUGGCCCCAGGGGAGAGCACGGUGCUACAGACGCGCUUCUACGGCUGCAUCCAUGUCUUCCUGUUCCUGUCCGUGCUGCUUCUCACUGUCGAGGUGGCUGCCUACCUCCAGGGAUGGCACCUCGAGGUGGAUAUACCGGGGCUCCUCACCGUGGAUGUCUUCACCGCCGCCUACGUCGGGUAGAUGCGCUCCCGCCUCGAGUACCUCGCGCCGCUGCUGCAUUUCUUGAUCAACACCUGCGUCGUCCUCUUCUUGAUCCAGAGCAUCGACUGGCUCGUCCUUUGACACGGCUACUUCUAGAUCAGGCUCAAGGGCAUCAAGCCCGUGCCGCAGGCCAGCGGCAAGGAGGACAUCGAAGCCGACGCCGAGGACUUCCUCCCGGUGCUCGUGCAGAUUCCCAUGUGCAACUAGAGGGAGGUGUACCAGUGUUGUUGCAAGAAGAUAUGUUGUACGAACAAGUGCGGCGAGGGCUCACUUACAGGAGUGGCUCAAGCUUGGAGAAGAAGUGGGGAGGGAGGAAUACAAAAUAUGUCGAUAGUAAAAAGGAUGGGUCCUUGGCCUAAUGUCCAGAGGUCUGUGUUUAUAGUACCAGUAGGGUGUGAAAUGUAUAAGUCUGCCCCUACAAAGAUGGCGAUACAAAUAUCGCUA